CAUGCAGUCGAGGGGUAUAUGUCUUCGGAUAUAGAGACCGGCGCACGGGUGCGUAACGCGUAUGCAAUCUACCUUUUACAGAGGGAUAGCCCAGAGAAAUUUGGAUUAAUACCUCAUAGUAUAGUGACUCGGCAUCGAGAUACUAUUAAAGUCACAACGGUAAAAGAUGAGCAUGCGUCCCAUUAGCUAGUUGGUAAGGUAACGGCUUACCAAGGCUACGAUGGGUAGGGGUCCUGAGAGGGAGAUCCCCCACACUGGUACUGAGACACGGACCAGACUCCUACGGGAGGCAGCAGUGAGGAAUAUUGGACAAUGGGCGCAAGCCUGAUCCAGCCAUGCCGCGUGCAGGAUGACGGUCCUAUGGAUUGUAAACUGCUUUUGUACGAGAAGAAACACUCCAACGUGUUGGAGCUUGACGGUAUCGUAAGAAUAAGGAUCGGCUAACUCCGUGCCAGCAGCCGCGGUAAUACGGAGGAUCCAAGCGUUAUCCGGAAUCAUUGGGUUUAAAGGGUCCGUAGGCGGUUUAGUAAGUCAGUGGUGAAAGCCCAUCGCUCAACGGUGGAACGGCCAUUGAUACUGCUAAACUUGAAUUAUUAGGAAGUAACUAGAAUAUGUAGUGUAGCGGUGAAAUGCUUAGAGAUUACAUGGAAUACCAAUUGCGAAGGCAGGUUACUACUAAUGGAUUGACGCUGAUGGACGAAAGCGUGGGUAGCGAACAGGAUUAGAUACCCUGGUAGUCCACGCCGUAAACGAUGGAUACUAGCUGUUGGGAGCAAUCUCAGUGGCUAAGCGAAAGUGAUAAGU
rnacentral:rRNA from 1 species